AUUGAACGCUGGCGGCAGGCCUAACACAUGCAAGUCGAGCGGAUGAAGGGAGCUUGCUCCUGGAUUCAGCGGCGGACGGGUGAGUAAUGCCUAGGAAUCUGCCUGGUAGUGGGGGAUAACGUCCGGAAACGGGCGCUAAUACCGCAUACGUCCUGAGGGAGAAAGUGGGGGAGCUUCGGACCUCACGCUAUCAGAUGAGCCUAGGUCGGAUUAGCUAGUUGGUGGGGUAAAGGCCUACCAAGGCGACGAUCCGUAACUGGUCUGAGAGGAUGAUCAGUCACACUGGAACUGAGACACGGUCCAGACUCCUACGGGAGGCAGCAGUGGGGAAUAUUGGACAAUGGGCGAAAGCCUGAUCCAGCCAUGCCGCGUGUGUGAAGAAGGUCUUCGGAUUGUAAAGCACUUUAAGUUGGGAGGAAGGGCAGUAAGUUAAUACCUUGCUGUUUUGGCGUUACCAACAGAAUAAGCACCGGCUAACUUCGUG
rnacentral:rRNA from 1 species